CAGUAACUGCUGAAGUUUCAAAAUGUCUGUUUACCAUAUUUAAGUUUUGCUAUCAUCAGAAAUGAUUGUAGAAGCGACCCCACCUACCGUCCAUGCUGCUGUGAGGAUGAAACGAGGUAACAGAGGAAAGCGCCGCAGGAAAGCAUAUCUGGACCCAGGUACUGUUUCUGCAUUACUUUCAACAGGAUGCACUAGUUUUGGCUCUGUUUUAUCACUAAGCAGCUGACAUUACCCAGAGGAUCCUUGACUAUGCCUGCUAAGGAACUCUAUGAAUUAGUGACGGGGGUGUGUGUGUGUGUAUGUGUGUGUGUGUGUGUGUAAGAGAGAAAGGGCAUUGUGUGAGGACUUCUCAGGAUGGUGGCAGGUGCCCAUUUUCCUAGGGUUACCAUGAAAGUUAUUUCUCACAACAAUCACUGCACUGAAAUUAUAAUAAUAUAGUAUUUUCAUAGCCUCCCCUAACAUGUAGCUGUAACCUUAGUAAAAGAUUUGAUCUAUAUUACACAUAAUUACUCACCCAGAAAGAGCCAACUAUGAGCUAUCCAUGGAAAUGAAGAAAUAACACAGCAAAUUCUCCAAA
rnacentral:lncRNA from 10 species